GUGACUGCAGAGGGCACCUUGAAAAGUUCAAAGGGCAUAGUUCUGGCUGUAGAGCGAGCUUCCUCCAAAAAGAAGUCUUUUUUCAAGAAGAAGAAAAAGCUCGCAAAGAAGUAGAAGAACGAGACCAAGCCCAAGAAAUAGAUUUUGAAGAAGACUGACGACAAAAGAAAAUGUUUCUAUUGCAAUGUCGAAGGCCACUGGGGAAGAAACUGUCUGACCUACCUGACGACUGUCAAGAGCAGAAAGAAGGAUGGGCCUUCUGAAGGUAUAUUUGAGUUGCUCGUUAUUGAAACUAAUCUAAUGAUUUUCUCUUCUUCUAGUUGG
rnacentral:lncRNA from 1 species